rnacentral:rRNA from 1 species
AACGAACGCUGGCGGCAUGCCUAACACAUGCAAGUCGAACGAGACCUUCGGGUCUAGUGGCGCACGGGUGCGUAACGCGUGGGAACCUGCCCUUAGGUUCGGAAUAACUCCCCGAAAGGGGUGCUAAUACCGGAUAAUGUUUUCGGACCAAAGAUUUAUCGCCUUUGGAUGGGCCCGCGUUGGAUUAGCUAGUUGGUAGGGUAAAAGCCUACCAAGGCGACGAUCCAUAGCUGGUCUGAGAGGAUGAUCAGCCACACUGGGACUGAGACACGGCCCAGACUCCUACGGGAGGCAGCAGUGGGGAAUAUUGGACAAUGGGCGAAAGCCUGAUCCAGCAAUGCCGCGUGAGUGAUGAAGGCCUUAGGGUUGUAAAGCUCUUUUACCCGGGAUGAUAAUGACAGUACCGGGAGAAUAAGCUCCGGCUAACUCUGUG